UUCAGUGGAAAAUGUGUGGGAAAUCCAGUUAGGAGAAAACUCAACUGCAACUUUCAUUGCCCAAAUUAGAUCUCUAUUUGUUUUUUUUUAUUUAGGUUUCUAAAUAUAAGUGACCCAACAUUCAGAAGUUCUGAGUAAGCAGUUUUCCAAAGGAAGUCAGCAGUGGCUGCAAUGAAAAUUAGGUCACAUAUUUAGGUAAUUCACUCCCAUCGUCAAGGUCAUUCUUACUGAGAACCACAGAGGGAAUCUCAUCAAUUGUACAUCUUAAUUCUUCAAGAAGCCGCUUUAAAUCUCUCAGUGGAUCCUCCUUCAAAAUGCCUGGUUUGUGCGGCAUCUGGAUUAAAAAUGUUAAUUUACAAAAUAAAUAUGAAAAAUGG